rnacentral:misc_RNA from 1 species
GAACAACAGUAUAUGAGCAUAGUAAUAUAAAUUUUCAACACCACUUUCUCCCUGAAGGGUGGAUAGAGUCGUUGAAAAAGUGACUUUGAUAAAAGCACUGAAGAGAUUGCCACCCAUGGACAGUAGGAGUAAAUUAUAACCACCAAAAAGACAAAAAUUACGAGGGAGAAAUAAUACAAUUAAGGUCUCUAUACAACCAAAUAUGUAAAGUACAGAAUCACCACCCUUAAACUCCAAGGAAUUUCUGCAUUUAUUUCACUCCCUCCAAGUAUUUCACUAAAUGCCAAAAAAGAUAGCUUCCUACACCUGACCGUGCAGUUCACCCUAUAUUGAGUCCUCUGAGCACUGCACUCUAGGUCUAAAUUAAAAAAUUAAGGGGGAAAAAAAAGAUGAAUAUCAACAUAUAAUGCUCAGAAAAUACCUGAAUCAGCAUCUUCACAAAAUG